AGUUAAUUUACGGCGCGUGAAAAAGAUGAAAUUAAGCCCAAAAGUACUUCUAGCGGCCUAUAGCCUAUUGUCAAUCGGCCCAAGCUUCACACACACACCGAAAAAAAACAAAAAAACAAAAACAAAAACAAAAGAGAAAAAAGGGGCAAGGUUUUGGGUUUUUCUUGUCGCGCAAGUUCUUUGUGGAAUCGUCGCCUCCUUUUUGUUUAAUUUUCUCUCUCUCUCUCUCUCUCUCUCUCUCCCCCGCCCUGCAGGCCUGCACGUCUGUGAAUCGGCGAUGGAGGAGGCGACGACGCCGGAGCCCGUUUGCGCGAAGGAGGCUCUCGACCUCCUCAACUGCGUCGCCGCCUCGCCCUUCGACCGCGACACCUGCCUCCGCCUCGUCGAUGCCCUCCGCACCUGCGUCCUCCACAAGUGAAUGAAACCCUAUAUGCUGGUCCAACAGUGCUUGGUUGACUGGAGUAUUGAAGAGAUGAAGGCUGUAAUAGCAUAAAGAAAAAUGAUGGCUGGUUAUAUGUUAUCUUCAGCAAAGAGAGCCUGCAAUAACAUAGAUGAUAAGUUAGUGCGGUAUGUAUCAUGAUGUUUGUGCAGGUAAGAUGGUUUAGUUUAUGCUGCCUUUUUUCCCCCCCUUUUUCUUUUGAGAUGAAUGGAAAGUACAGAACAAGCCAAGAAAAGGAGAUUCCCUCAUAAUCUAUUGGUUGUUGAUGACUACACCUUUGAUUCUGAUGGUUGAUAUUGAUGGCUCAGGACGACACCUUUGAUUCCAGUUUUAUUGAACAUUCCACCAAUGAAUUCGCUAGGAACCUCUUUAGUAAGUGGAAUAUACUGAAUUGUGCUCAAUCGAAUAUUGUAAAGCCCCAGUUUUCGACUGUUGUAUCCUUUGUGUACUCUUAUGUUCUUUAAUUUGAUGCUUCUUGUUGUCGGGAUGCUAAACAAGUACCUUGACUGUGGUCGAACCACUAAUUUUCUGGCCAAUGUCGACUCUUCUAGAGCAUUUGUUUGUAAUGUUGUUCUGUUAUUACUUACUAUGAAAAUAAGCUAUGCGUGGAGAAA